AGAGUUUGAUCCUGGCUCAGGAUGAACGCUGGCGGCGCGCCUAACACAUGCAAGUCGAACGGACGAGGGCCCUUCGGGGCCGAGUUAGUGGCGAACGGGUGAGUAACACGUGAGGAACCUGCCUUUCAGAGGGGGAUAACACUUAGAAAUAGGUGCUAAUACCGCAUAAGACCACAGAGCGGCAUCGCUCAGGGGUCAAAGGAGCAAUCCGCUGAAAGAUGGCCUCGCGUCCGAUUAGGUAGUAGGCGGGGCAACGGCCCACCUAGCCUGCGAUCGGUAGCCGGACUGAGAGGUUGAACGGCCACAUUGGGACUGAGACACGGCCCAGACUCCUACGGGAGGCAGCAGUGGGGAAUAUUGGGCAAUGGGGAAACCCUGACCCAGCGACGCCGCGUGAGGGAAGAAGGUUUUCGGAUUGUAAACCUCUGUCUUCGGGGAUGAUAGUGACAGUACCCGAGGAGGAAGCCACGGCUAAUUACGUGCC
rnacentral:rRNA from 1 species